rnacentral:snRNA from 1 species
AUACUUUCCUGUCAGGAUGGCUGCCAUGAUCAUGAAGGUGGAUAUUGCAGGGCUGGGCUUAUCCCUUGCACUCUAGAUGUGCUGACCCUGCCUUUUCCUCAAAUGAGGAAAACUGAACUGCAUAUUUCAUGGUAGUGGAGUGACNN